CCUACGGGGAGCAGUAGUGAGGAAUAUUGGUCAAUGGACGAGAGUCUGAACCAGCCAAGUAGCGUGAAGGAUGACUGCCCUAUGGGUUGUAAACUUCUUUUAUAUGGGAAUAAAAUGUUCCACGUGUGGGAUUUUGUAUGUACCAUAUGAAUAAGGAUCGGCUAACUCCGUGCCAGCAGCCGCGGUAAUACGGAGGAUCCGAGCGUUAUCCGGAUUUAUUGGGUUUAAAGGGAGCGUAGGUGGAUUGUUAAGUCAGUUGUGAAAGUUUGCGGCUCAACCGUAAAAUUGCAGUUGAAACUGGCAGUCUUGAGUACAGUAGAGGUGGGCGGAAUUCGUGGUGUAGCGGUGAAAUGCUUAGAUAUCACGAAGAACUCCGAUUGCGAAGGCAGUUCACUGGACUGCAACUGACACUGAGGCUCGAAAGUGUGGGUAUCAAACAGGAUUAGAUACCCCGGUAGUC
rnacentral:rRNA from 1 species